GGGAUACAGUCUAUCCCAGUACUCUACUAGAAUUGGGAUGCAGCCUAUCCCAGUACUCUACUAGAAUUGGGAUGCAGCCUAUCCCAGUACUGUACUAGAGUAAAAAACUCAACAUCGUGUCUUGUUAUAGAUUUUAUAAGGGUGAAGUAUAGCUAUGUGUAUGGAAACAAAGAGUUGAGACAUUUCAGACUAUGUGUAUGGAAACAAAGAGUUGGGACAUUUCAGACUAUGUGUAUGGAAACAAAGAGUUGGGACAUUUCAGACUAUGCGUAUAGAAACAAAGAGUUGAGACAUUUCAGACUAUGUGUAUGGAAACAAAGAGUUGGGACAUUUCAGACUAUGCGUAUAGAAACAAAGAGUUGGGACAUUUCAGACUAUGCGUAUAGAAACAAAGAGUUGAGACAUUUCAGACUAUGCUUAUAGAAACAAAGAGUUGAGACAUUUCAGACUAUGCGUAUAGAAACAAAGAGUUAAGACAUUUCAGACUAUGCGUAUGGAAACAAAGAGUUGGGACAUUUCAGACUAUGCAUAUGGAAACAAAGAGUUGAGACAUUUCAGACUAUGCGUAUAGAAACAAAGAGUUGGGACAUUUCAGUCUAUGCGUAUAGAAACAAAGAGUUGAGACAUUUCAGUCUAUGCGUAUGGAAACAAAGAGUUGAGACAUUUCAGACUAUGCGUAUAGAAACAAAGAGUUGGGACAUUUCAGACUAUGUGUAUGGAAACAAAGAGUUGAUACAUUUCAGACUAUGCAUAUAGAAACAAAGAGUUGAGACAUUUCAGACUAUGCUUAUAGAAACAAAGAGUUGAGACAUUUCAGACUAUGCUUAUAGAAACAAAGAGUUGAGACAUUUCAGACUAUGCUUAUAGAAACAAAGAGUUGAGACAUUUCAGGCUAUGUGUAUGGAACCAAAGAGUUGGGACAUUUCAGGCUAUGUGUAUGGAAACAAAGAGUUGAGACAUUUCAGGCUAUGUGUAUGGAAACAAAGAGUUGAGACAUUUCAGACUAUGCGUAUGGAAACAAAGAGUUGAGACAUUUCAGACUAUGCAUAUGGAAACAAAGAGUUGGGACAUUUCAGACUAUGUGUAUGGAAACAAAGAGUUGAGACAUUUCAGACUAUGUGUAUGGAAACAAAGAGUUGAGACAUUUCAGGCUAUGUGUAUGGAAACAAAGAGUUGGGACAUUUCAGACUAUGCUUAUAGAAACAAAGAGUUGGGACAUUUCAGGCUAUGUGUAUGGAAACAAAGAGUUGGGACAUUUCAGACUAUGUGUAUAGAAACAAAGAGUUGGGACAUUUCAGACUAUGCUUAUAGAAACAAAGAGUUGGGACAUUUCAGGCUAUGUGUAUGGAAACAAAGAGUUGGGACAUUUCAGACUAUGCUUAUAGAAACAAAGAGUUGGGACAUUUCAGACUAUGCUUAUAGAAACAAAGAGUUGGGUGUGUGUCUUGUUAUGUCCCUUGAGGUGAGGCAUUGGCCGUGUUCGAUAGCAUCAAAACCGUGAUGUAUCAUGGGUAAAUUGUGAUUGGCUGAUUGAUCUACAAAGGAAUAGUGAGUAGUUAUUUAUGAUGCACGGUGAUUUGUAGAUCAGUCAGUCUCAACUCGCCUUUAAAGUUGGCUGCAGUGUCAAACGCAGACAUUGAGAUGGUUUCACAUCGCAGGCCGACUACCGACUGACAGAUCUACAAAAAAAACCUUGCGUCAUAAAUAACUACUCAUUAUUAUUUGUAGAUCAGUCACAAUUUACCCCCAGGCACAUUACAGGGUUGAUCCUCUUGAACACAGCCAUUAUCUCUGUCUGUCUGCUUGUACAGGUCAAACCCAAGACACGUCAUUGUUUCCAUUGGAGUUGGUUUUAGCAGUGUGAUUAUCUGGCUUCUGCUACCCUCUGCUGGCUGUUCUGUAAAAAUCAACCUGUAUCUGAUACCCACUGCAUGUAACCCUAUCAAUGAACAGAAUACCAUCGUGUCAAAAAAAUUAAACAGAAAAUAUUAUUUUUAAAAAGUUUUGAAAAAAAUAAAAAUACAACAAAAUAUUUUGUCCCACUCAAAAUAUAUUGUUGAAUUCAUCCAUGGACAAGCUUAAUAUUUGCUCUGUAUCUCUUAAAUAUCCCAGUGCUCACUACACUUCUUCAGGUAUUUCUCUUUAUCCUUGUAUUUCCCUCUAUGUCACUGCAGGUAUGAUCCCAAAACAGACACAUGGACCACGGUGUCCUCUCUGAGUGUCCCCAGGGACGCUGUAGGUAUCUGUCUGCUAGGAGACAGGCUAUAUGCUGUCGGAGGAUACGAUGGAACGUCCUACCUGAACACUGUUGAGUCCUAUGAUGCACAGAACAAUGAAUGGACUGAGGAGGUCAAUCUCAACAUUGGAAGGGCUGGUGCCUGUGUUGUAGUUGUGAGAAUACCUUAAGGACUACAACUCCCUACAACCCCCCGGAAUGCCACACAGAACACAUGAUAUGAUGUCACCACUGAUGUCAUCACCGAGAAUGUUUUUCCUUCAGUUUUUAUACUGUAAAGACAAACCGCUACUGCAUUCCUCACAAACCAAUGUUUCCAUGAACAGUGAUUUUCAUUGUCCACUUGAAAGUAUUUUAUCUUUGAUUAUAAGAACGUACUUUACCAUAUCUACAGAUCAAGUAAGUGGUUAGUUGUGGUUAAAAAUAUUAGGAAACUCUGCCAUACUCUCCUUGGUCUGCUUACUCUGUUAAAAUGCUCUAUCAGAAAAUAAUGAUCCGAAAAUAAUGAUCAGACAAUAAUGUUCUCUAUAUGAUACAAUGAAAGAAAUUACAUUUAUUAAUUUAGACUUUUACAUUUAUACAGCAACAUUCUAUAUUUGUCUCAUCACAUAAUAUUUUGGGGGGAUUUAUACUCCUAUGUAUAUCUCUCUUUUAGCCACCUGAAAAUGAAAUGUACUUUUUCUAUUUUUACUACAUCUCUGUUGCUAAACUGGAUUUCUACUCUUGGACAAAACAUUUUGAAGAAGGAUCACUGUGAAUAAUACUGAAGAUGAAGAGUUUGUAAAGUGCAAUACCGGGUACGUUCUACCAGAACAAUUUGACAAAGUUACUCAUGUUGCUCAACAACUGUGAGCUGGAUAUAGAUAUUUGCGAAAGGAAAGAAAUCUAACAAAAACUUUUCAAAAAGUUUUUUUUUUUCUUGGAAGCUCUAUCUGAAUUACACCAAAGUCAUUACCCAGUCUUAGAAAUGUUUUGUACAUGUUUUAAAAAUAUAUACAAAUAUAUCAUAUUGAUAUUUCGCGUUACUUCAAAGAUUUUAAUAGGUUUGCUAAAAUUGCAGUCAUCUUUAUAACAUCAUAUCAUGCCUAAACAAAUGCAUUACUGUCAUCUCCAGUGUUUCUUUUUAUGUUUUGGCAUGCUAGUUAAUAUUAAUUUGUAAUUAAACAAUAUUGAUCUUU